GAGGGUACAGCUCAGUGGCAGAGCACAUGCUUAGCAUGCAUGAGGUCCUGAGUUCAAUCCCCAAUACUUGUG
rfam:Camelus ferus unplaced genomic scaffold scaffold445, whole genome shotgun sequence.